AGUNNNNNAGGGUUUCCGCCCUUCAGUGCUGCAGCAAACGCAUUAAGCACUCCGCCUGGGGAGUACGACCGCAAGGUUGAAACUCAAAGGAAUUGACGGGGGCCCGCACAAGCGGUGGAGCAUGUGGUUUAAUUCGAAGCAACGCGAAGAACCUUACCAGGUCUUGACAUCCUUUGACCACUCUAGAGAUAGAGCUUUCCCCUCGGGGGCAAAGUGACAGGUGGUGCAUGGUUGUCGUCAGCUCGUGUCGUGAGAUGUUGGGUUAAGUCCCGCAACGAGCGCAACCCUUAUUGUUAGUUGCCAUCAUUUAGUUGGGCACUCUAGCGAGACUGCCGGUGACAAACCGGAGGAAGGUGGGGAUGACGUCAAAUCAUCAUGCCCCUUAUGACCUGGGCUACACACGUGCUACAAUGGGAAGUACAACGAGUUGCGAAGUCGCGAGGCUAAGCUAAUCUCUUAAAGCUUCUCUCAGUUCGGAUUGUAGGCUGCAACUCGCCUACAUGAAGCCGGAAUCGCUAGUAAUCGCGGAUCAGCACGCCGCGGUGAAUACGUUCCCGGGCCUUGUACACACCGCCCGUCACACCACGAGAGUUUGUAACACCCGAAGUCGNNGNNGUAACCUUUUUGGAGCCAGCCGCCNNNGGUGGGAUAGAUGAUUGGGGUGAAGUCGUAACAAGGUAGCC
rnacentral:rRNA from 1 species